rnacentral:tRNA from 1 species
GCCCCAAUAGUUUAGUGGUUAGAACCUCUGAUUUGUAAUCAGAUAGCCUCAGUUCGACUCUGAGUGGGGGCU